rnacentral:misc_RNA from 1 species
UACGUAGGGAGCGAGCGUUGUUCGGAAUCACUGGGCGUAAAGCGCAUGCAGGCGGAUCGUUAAGUCGGGGGUGAAAGCCCGAGGCUCAACCUCGGAACUGCCUUCGAUACUGGCGAUCUUGAGUCCGGGAGAGGUGAGUGGAACUCCGGGUGUAGAGGUGAAAUUCGUAGAUAUUCGGAAGAACACCAGUGACGAAGGCGGCUCACUGGCCCGGUACUGACGCUGAGAUGCGAAAGCGUGGGGAGCAAACAGG